rnacentral:rRNA from 1 species
UCUGGUGAUCAGAGCGCCGUCGAACCACCUGAUACCAUUCCGAACUCAGAAGUGAAAGGCGGCAGCGCGGACGAUAGUAUGCGGGCAACUGUGUGCGAAAAUACGUCAUCGCCAGAA